CAGCCGCCGCGGUAGUACGUAGGUGGCAAGCGUUGUCCGGAAUUAUUGGGCGUAAAGCGCGCGCGGGCGGAUCAGUCAGUCUGUCUUAAAAGUUCGGGGCUUAACCCCGUGAUGGGAUGGAAACUGCUGAUCUAGAGUAUCGGAGAGGAAAGUGGAAUUCCUAGUGUAGCGGUGAAAUGCGUAGAUAUUAGGAAGAACACCAGUGGCGAAGGCGACUUUCUGGACGAAAACUGACGCUGAGGCGCGAAAGCCAGGGGAGCGAACAGGAUUAGAUACCCCAGUAGUCCCUGUCUCUUAUACA
rnacentral:rRNA from 1 species